rfam:Lachnospiraceae bacterium 28-4 genomic scaffold acPFn-supercont1.4, whole genome shotgun sequence.
UUGCGUACAAUCAGCUAUUUCACUUAUGAAAUGGCCAAUAACCAGAGAAAAACCGCCAGGAAUGGCGGUUUUAGGGAGCGUAGGCAUGGAUGCCGUUGCUCCCGGCUCGUCAGGUUGGAUUCCGUAUAACCAUUUCAUUAGUGAAAUCUGAUUGGAAGCUC